UGACAGUUGUGAAGAAUGCAGAAUCGUGUGU
rnacentral:piRNA from 1 species